GAGCUCUCCGCCUCGCCGGCCCACUCGGGCGCCAUUUUGAGAAGCUCUUUGUGGGGCGGGGCUGCGAGAGACGCUCGGUGCAUGCCCGGGGGGCGCGGGGCCUUGGCCGCUGUGAUUGGCCCUUCCCUGGGAGCGCGCGGUGCAGCCGGGCCUGAGCGGGGAGUGGGGCUGCCCCCCCCCCACCCACUGAGGGGGGAUCCCCUCCUCCGGCUCUCCUGGGGGUUGCGAGCCCCGAAGCCAGGCACCCCCUGUGAUAGCGGCAGCCGGCCGGAGCGUCGGUAUCCCCGCGCCUCAGGUGGGCUGGAUGCUCCCCGCCUGCCGCGCGAUUCCCGCGUCUCCCGCUGGGGCGCUCUCCGGGGCUGCCGCGCCACUGAAACUGGGGGCGGGGGGCGGGAAGCGGGGUCCUGCAAGGGACCAAGAGGUCGGGGCAAAGGAAGAGGUGGCAGAGAUUUUGGAAACAAGGGACAGCUUUCAUAUGUCAGAGGGAAAAUGCGAGGCAAAACAAUUAAUGGGCUCAUAAGACGUGUGAUAGGAAGAAUGAGUCUAUAUCCUGACCCCCAAGGCCGAAGAGGAGGCAGAGGGGGGGCCACCUUUUCUACCAUCCUCACCCAUGAGAAGAAUGAUGAGAGAUCCUUUCUCACUUCCACCACAAGACAUGGACUUCCUCCUCCACCAUCACCACCAGGACCAAUGGGCUUCAGAGGCAGGCCACCUCAUCCCAAAGCCAGAGGGAUGCUGUGGAUGCCAACCGGUCGUUUCCCUCCGCCAAGAGGGGUAACAUAGUCACCCUUUGAGGCCAAUUGGAGAUGGUACACAGACCUUUCGGAGAGCGUACAACAAGCCUUAUCUGAGAUGAGAACAUUUUUAAAACUUUUUUAUCACCCAUAAUUUCUCUGUCCUUUACAGUCUAAAAAAUUAUUUACGCAGAUUUUUCCAACAAAUGCCCAUGUGUUUAGUAACUAGUUUAGCCAAGAGAAAAAGUGGUGAGAACUUUAGCAUUAAAGCUUCUGUUCUUUAUCCUGUGUUACAGCAUAUGUCAAAAAAUAGUUCUGGAGUCAGUUACUAUAAUGUCCUUCGUUUGUUCUAGUACUAAUUUUUAAAUUUAGAAACUGCUUCACUUGUUUUCGCUAUUGAGACCUAUAUUUUGAACUCUUGGAAUUUUUGCUAUGGGAAAACUAUGAACAGCAGAGCUGAAAUUCAAGCUGGAAGUUCUGUUAAGUUCAAGGAGCAAAAGACUGGUAUGUUCAUUAUGACCCUUAAUUUCUUAUACUGUAAUUACUGUAAGGUACAGUUAGUACAAGAAUAUUAUAGAAACACUAAGUUUUCUGCACAGAACUACAAAACUUUUUAGGAAAGAAGUAUGAAUACUGUACAUUAGAAUACAGAAUAGAAACCAGUGAGGACUUCAAGUUGUAAGUGUGUAUAUAAAUAGGUAGUGUUUCUUAUUUUAAAACUGAUAUUCAGUGAGGGAGUUUUCUUGUCAUCUACAAUUUUUGGUUUAAAAAAAUAAACAUUAAAACAUUUUGUUGUGAUCCAAAAUACAGCAUUUACACAGGCUUCCUGAGAUAUACUGUUCUGAAGUAGUAGUUAACACCAAAUUUAUAUAAAAAUAAACAGUAGAGCAUGCAUACUAAAACAAUUAGCUUAAUUGAUGACUUACAGAACUACAUGUUCGUGCUAUCAGUGUCCUGUUUCUAGUGCACCAACUGGAGAAAAAGAAAAUAAAAAACCCCAAGGGAUCUUUUCAGAUAAAGCUUCAGUAUAACAGUAAAAUAAAACUAAAUUGAGAGAAGGGAUUUAAAAAAAAAUUGUAAAGGGGUUUUCAAACAGCAAGGAGGAUUUGGUCUAUCAUAUGUCCAUUUUCUUCUUUUAAAGUGUUAUGGUGAGGACUUCUGACGUUAAUUUUUCAAUUAUAUAUAUCCCAGAUAUAUUGCAUGAAUAUUAGGCUAUGAUACAUCAGGGAUCGGCAGCCUUUGGCACAUGGCCUUUUAGGGUAAGCCCCUGGUGGGCCAGGCUGGUUUGUUUACCUGCUGCGUCCACAAGUUCGGCCGAUCGCAGCUCCCGCUGGCCGCGGUUCGCUGUCCCAGGUCAAUCAGGGCUGUGGGAAGGUCGGCCAGCACAUCCCUCGGCCUGCUGCCACUUCCCUCAGUCCCCAUUGGCCUGGGACGGCGAACUGUGGCUAAUGGGAGCUGCGAUCAGCCGGACCUGCGGACGUGGCAGGUAAACAGCCCGGCCCGCCAGUGGCUUACCCUGAUGGCCGUGUGUCAAAGGUUGCCGAUCCCAGGGAUACAUUAACAGAAAAUACCAGACAAACCAAAUAGAUUUCACAAAUUUGAAUGAGAAUCAAGUGAAAAGACAACAUUGUUUAUAAAAGCCGCUAUGUAAAUUCAUAAGGUCUGUUUAGUGUACUAGGAUUACCAUAAUCUUCUGAGAUUUUUGCACUGAGUACUUUGGUAGAAGAUAUUGAGCAAAGGUAAAUUUUAUCUUUCAUUUCCCUCUUCUUCUCCCCCCUUUUUAUUUUACAGAAUUCAGUUUUCUUUGAAAAGUUUGUCAUGGCAGAUUUUUUGGCAGCAAAACUAAUCUGUUUCUUAUCUCUUAAUUUCUCAGCAGAUGGACCAUCACCGUUUAAAGGAGCACCUAGUCAAAAUUAUAAGUAUCCUAAAGAACUCUCUGCACUAGUUGUGAUAAACUCCUUCAGUAAUGAUGUCACUCUUUUGUAGGGCAGGGAUUAUGAACUUCUUCUAUACAGAAAGAUGUAUUCCUGACUGCUGAGCAGAUGACAGAAGAACCAUAUUAUUUUUUCAAACAGAUUUGUUGAUGAGUUCGAUGUGAAUAUCCUGAGUAGCUAGCAAAAUCAGGCCAUUCAGUAAAUGAAGCUCUGUGGCUGGCACAGUGAGCUUUAUUGACACACUGAUGAUUUACAUUUGUUUGAUUUCCGUCUAACUUUGCAACACACCAUCUUGGCUCUUUUUAUUUUUCUACUAAGAGCUGCUAUAGCAGAAUUUCCCCCAACUAGAGAGACCUAUCUCCUUCCCCUCAGAGCCAGUUGCCUGUAUUUAGCAGAGUAGUAGGGGUUGAAAUAACUGUGUGCACCUUCAAAUUGGAAUCUGUGGUAUUUCCCAUCAGUCAGUUAGGAAUGGAAGAAACAUAGGGUGUACUUGAGGGCUAAAGUUAUUUGGCUCUUCUUGACAGCUCUUUUUAAGAGGUCACAUAUAGAGAAGAAAAAGAGACUUGUGCCCUGAAAGUUACAUUACUUUCCUCCCCCAUACAAUGGCCAAUGAGAUCAGAGCCCUCCCCUCCAUACAACUGAGGAAGGUUCUCCUUUUCCCCAGCACACAGUGGAUUGUGACUGAAAGGAGCCUGCUCAUAAAGGAGUGUUUGUAAACUGCACUCUAGUGACUGUAGGGGUCCAAAAGUCAUCCUCCCUCCCACUUAAAUUAUUUUGUUUUUAAAGCACAGCUCUGAUGGUAGUCACCCCCCAUCCCUUUGCCACCACACACCACAGCAGUUCUUGUGGCUCCUUCAUACCCUUCCAUUGCUGCACCCCAACAAUCCAGGUCUCGGCUCCAUUCCUGUAGGCCUGCUGAAGUGCAGAAUAAGGUAUUUACCAGCACUCUCUGGCUGUGGAAGAGAAAGGAAUUAAACCAAGUCUGCAUCUUAGGCUAAUGUGCUAAUCAUUCACCCACUUCUUCAGGAAGCCCUCUCAAUCUUCACAGAAGAAAAGGGAGGAAAAGGAUGAGCUUCCACUUAGGCAGUAGUGCAAGAGCCUCAUUUUCAGGGCCCCCAUAG